UACGUAGGGUGCAAGCGUUAAUCAGAAUUACUGGGCGUAAAGCGUGCGCAGGCGGUUUUGUAAGUCUGACGUGAAAUCCCCGGGCUCAACCUGGGAAUUGCGUUGGAGACUGCAAGGCUAGAAUCUGGCAGAGGGGGGUAGAAUUCCACGUGUAGCAGUGAAAUGCGUAGAGAUGUGGAGGAACACCGAUGGCGAAGGCAGCCCCCUGGGUCAAGAUUGACGCUCAUGCACGAAAGCGUGGGGAGCAAACAGG
rnacentral:rRNA from 1 species